AUCCUAAGACAAAAAUCUGGGCUCUUUUCUUUGGUUAGAAGACAAAGGAAUUCCAGCGUAUGCAGGCUCAUUGCAACCUCUACCUCCCAGGUUCAAGCGCCUCCUGAGUAGCUGGGAUUACAGGUGUGUGCCACCAUGCCUGGCUAAUUUUUUGUAUAUUUUUUAGAAGAGACAGGGUUUCACUGUGUUAUCUGGGAUGGUCUCGAUCUUCUGACCUAGUGAUCCGCCCGCCUUGGCCUCCCAAAGUGCUGGGAUUACAAGUGUGAAGCACUGCACCCA
rnacentral:lncRNA from 1 species